rnacentral:rRNA from 1 species
AGAGUUUGAUCCUGGCUCAGGAUAGAACGCUAGCGACAGGCUUAACACAUGCAAGUCGAGGGGCAGCGGGGAAGUAGCAAUACUUUCGCCGGCGACCGGCGCACGGGUUGAGUAACACGUGUUGCAACCAACCCCGUACCGGGAGAUAACCCGCGGAAACGUGGACUAACAUCCCAUAAUACGUGGAGGAUCGCAUGAUCUUUCAUUUAAAA